rnacentral:lncRNA from 1 species
GAAAGAGAGAAAAAGAAAGCUCAGAUGCAAGUUUUCUUUUUUUUUUGCUCAUGAAAAGCAAAGCGUGGAAUACAACAAAUUAAAUAGCCACCCGGUGAGAAAAAAGGGAGUGGAGUGAAAAAUGGGCAGGGGGGGAUAAAACCCAGAUGAAAAAGGCAGGCUGGUGCUGGAGGAUGCCAGACAGGUCUGGGAAUAGAGGCAUAGCAUGGCGGUAAAAUAAUUGUACCCCUUCGGCUGAAGUCCAGCGCCGCUUUCUGCCUCGCUGCCCCAAGCCUGCCAUCCUCUGUUAGCUCCUGCAAUAUUUUAUCCGCCAGCUCCGGCUCUGUUUCACCAGCAAUGGAGAGGACUAGAUUAAUUAGGAGAGAUCUCUCUCCCACAGCCAGCCCGGCUCUGCAGGGGGAAGGCUGGGAACUAUUUAAAGGGAUGAAGAUGUACUGCAGCAGCUGCCAUCUCUCUGGCUGGUAAUGUGCUCGCUCACCUAGCUGAAAAUUCAUCUCCUUUUGCCCUCUGCCAGUAAUUCCCAGCAAAUAAAAGCUGGUGAGCCCCAGGUUGAGCUCUGAGGCCAGCUGGGCUGGGCUGGGGGUUUGGGGAGAGCAGGUGUAAGGAAGGAAAUGGGAGAGACAUGUGUUGGGAUGAAGAUUGGAACAACUGCAAAACGUUCAGAACCUGAGCAUUGCUCUCGUUUAUGACAGCACUGCCCAUCUUGGGAACGGGGCUGCAGGAGCCCCAAAAUCCCAGGUGCCCCCACAGCCAGGAUGGACCCAGCACCGCUCCCCCAUUUCCCAGCUCAUUAAGGCCCAGCCUUGCCUUCGAGUGACACAGCUCGCUAACUCCGUCUCCCUCCCUCUGCAAACAAACAUUGGAUUUAAACCUGCUCAGAAUUCAGCGCAGACGGAAAGCAGCGGCGGCAGCAGCAAGCAGCAAGCAGCGCAGCCGCUCGCCUAGCGCAGCUCCAAGAUGAACCAUCCUGCCUGCUGGAUCGUCUUCACGGCCACCACUGCCCUGCUCUUCAUCCCAGACCCCACUGCAGAGCAGAAACCCCAGCUCAGCAGGAUUUUCCCUGUUGUGAUGGCACAGGAAGAGCUCUUUCCAUGCAAACAGCCACCUCUCCUGGCAUUGCUGGAAAACUUGGAUGUGUGUCCUAUUCCUUUUCCAAAGGGAGCUUUGUGGAGGCACAAAGGCAGCCUGUGGCUACCUUGCAGUGUGGUGACAUGGUUGAAGAGUGUCACAGAAGCUGAGUGUGCUCACAUCUUUCCUGGGAAGACUGCCUUGCAUACCCUGCUUUGA